CCUACGGGAGGCAGCAGUAGGGAAUCUUCCGCAAUGGACGAAAGUCUGACGGAGCAACGCCGCGUGAACGAUGAAGGCCUUCGGGCCGUAAAGUUCUGUUGUUAGGGAAGAACAAGUGCUAGUUGAAUAAGCUGGCACCUUGACGGUACCUAACCAGAAAGCCACGGCUAACUACGUGCCAGCAGCCGCGGUAAUACGUAGGUGGCAAGCGUUGUCCGGAAUUAUUGGGCGUAAAGCGCGCGCAGGCGGUUUCUUAAGUCUGAUGUGAAAGCCCCCGGCUCAACCGGGGAGGGUCAUUGGAAACUGGGAAACUUGAGUGCAGAAGAGGAAAGUGGAAUUCCAAGUGUAGCGGUGAAAUGCGUAGAGAUUUGGAGGAACACCAGUGGCGAAGGCGACUUUCUGGUCUGUAACUGACGCUGAGGCGCGAAAGCGUGGGGAGCAAACAGGAUUAGAUACCCUGGUAGUCCACGCUGUAAACGAUGAGUGCUAAGUGUUAGAGGGUUUCCGCCCUUUAGUGCUGAAGUUAACGCAUUAAGCACUCCGCCUGGGGAGUACGGUCGCAAGACUGAAACUCAAAGAUAGUGCGNGNGAGAGCGACGACGACGACGACGGAGGAGAG
rnacentral:rRNA from 1 species